rnacentral:rRNA from 1 species
UAAGCGACUAAGCGUACACGGUGGAUGCCCUGGCAGUCAGAGGCGAUGAAGGACGUGCUAAUCUGCGAAAAGCGACGGCGAGGUGAUAUGAACCUUUGACCCGUCGAUGUCCGAAUGGGGAAACCCAGUGUGUUCCGACACACUAUCGUUAACUGAAUACAUAGGUUAACGAGGCGAACCGGGGGAACUGAAACAUCUAAGUACCCCGAGGAAAAGAAAUCAACCGAGAUUCCCCCAGUAGCGGCGAGCGAACGGGGAGCAGCCCGGAGUCUGAAUCAGCUUGUGUGUUAGUGGAACGGUCUGGAAAGUCCGACGGUACAGGGUGAUAGUCCCGUACACGAAAAUGCACAGGUUGUGAACUCGAAGAGUAGGGCGGGACACGUGGUAUCCUGUCUGAAUAUGGGGGGACCAUCCUCCAAGGCUAAAUACUCCUGACUGACCGAUAGUGAACCAGUACCGUGAGGGAAAGGCGAAAAGAACCCCGGCGAGGGGAGUGAAAAAGAACCUGAAACCGUGUACGUACAAGCAGUGGGAGCCUCUUUAUGGGGUGACUGCGUACCUUUUGUAUAAUGGGUCAGCGACUUAUAUUCUGUAGCAAGGUUAACCGUAUAGGGGAGCCGAAGGGAAACCGAGUCUUAACUGGGCGUUAAGUUGCAGGGUAUAGACCCGAAACCCGGUGAUCUAGCCAUGGGCAGGUUGAAGGUUGGGUAACACUAACUGGAGGACCGAACCGACUAAUGUUGAAAAAUUAGCGGAUGACCUGUGGCUGGGGGUGAAAGGCCAAUCAAACCGGGAGAUAGCUGGUUCUCCCCGAAAGCUAUUUAGGUAGCGCCUCGUGAACUCAUCUUCGGGGGUAGAGCACUGUUUCGGCUAGGGGGCCAUCCCGGCUUACCAACCCGAUGCAAACUACGAAUACCGAAGAAUGUUAUCACGGGAGACACACGGCGGGUGCUAACGUCCGUCGUGAAGAGGGAAACAACCCAGACCGCCAGCUAAGGUCCCAAAGUCAUGGUUAAGUGGGAAACGAUGUGGGAAGGCACAGACAGCCAGGAUGUUGGCUUAGAAGCAGCCAUCAUUUAAAGAAAGCGUAAUAGCUCACUGGUCGAGUCGGCCUGCGCGGAAGAUGUAACGGGGCUAAACCAUGCACCGAAGCUGCGGCAGCGACACUAUGUGUUGUUGGGUAGGGGAGCGUUCUGUAAGCCGUUGAAGGUGUGCUGUGAGGCAUGCUGGAGGUAUCAGAAGUGCGAAUGCUGACAUAAGUAACGAUAAAGCGGGUGAAAAGCCCGCUCGCCGGAAGACCAAGGGUUCCUGUCCAACGUUAAUCGGGGCAGGGUGAGUCGACCCCUAAGGCGAGGCCGAAAGGCGUAGUCGAUGGGAAACAGGUUAAUAUUCCUGUACUUGGUGUUACUGCGAAGGGGGGACGGAGAAGGCUAUGUCAGCCGGGCGACGGUUGUCCCGGUUUAAGCAUGUAGGCGGAGGUUCCAGGUAAAUCCGGUACCUUUUAACGCUGAGGUGUGAUGACGAGGCACUACGGUGCUGAAGUGAUAAAUGCCCUGCUUCCAGGAAAAGCCUCUAAGCAUCAGGUAACACGAAAUCGUACCCCAAACCGACACAGGUGGUCAGGUAGAGAAUACCAAGGCGCUUGAGAGAACUCGGGUGAAGGAACUAGGCAAAAUGGUGCCGUAACUUCGGGAGAAGGCACGCUGAUAGGUAGGUGAAGCCCCUGCGGGCGGAGCUGAAAUCAGUCGAAGAUACCAGCUGGCUGCAACUGUUUAUUAAAAACACAGCACUGUGCAAACACGAAAGUGGACGUAUACGGUGUGACGCCUGCCCGGUGCCGGAAGGUUAAUUGAUGGGGUUAGCGGCAACGCGAAGCUCUUGAUCGAAGCCCCGGUAAACGGCGGCCGUAACUAUAACGGUCCUAAGGUAGCGAAAUUCCUUGUCGGGUAAGUUCCGACCUGCACGAAUGGCGUAAUGAUGGCCAGGCUGUCUCCACCCGAGACUCAGUGAAAUUGAACUCGCUGUGAAGAUGCAGUGUACCCGCGGCAAGACGGAAAGACCCCGUGAACCUUUACUAUAGCUUGACACUGAACACUGGUCCUUGAUGUGUAGGAUAGGUGGGAGGCUUUGAAGCGUGGACGCCAGUCUGCGUGGAGCCAUCCUUGAAAUACCACCCUUUAAUGGCUGGUGUUCUAACGUAGACCCGUGAUCCGGGUUGCGGACAGUGUCUGGUGGGUAGUUUGACUGGGGCGGUCUCCUCCCAAAGAGUAACGGAGGAGCACGAAGGUUGGCUAAUCCUGGUCGGACAUCAGGAGGUUAGUGCAAUGGCAUAAGCCAGCUUGACUGCGAGCGUGACGGCGCGAGCAGGUGCGAAAGCAGGUCAUAGUGAUCCGGUGGUUCUGAAUGGAAGGGCCAUCGCUCAACGGAUAAAAGGUACUCCGGGGAUAACAGGCUGAUACCGCCCAAGAGUUCAUAUCGACGGCGGUGUUUGGCACCUCGAUGUCGGCUCAUCACAUCCUGGGGCUGAAGUAGGUCCCAAGGGUAUGGCUGUUCGCCAUUUAAAGUGGUACGCGAGCUGGGUUUAGAACGUCGUGAGACAGUUCGGUCCCUAUCUGCCGUGGGCGCUGGAGAAUUGAGGGGGGCUGCUCCUAGUACGAGAGGACCGGAGUGGACGCAUCACUGGUGUUCGGGUUGUCAUGCCAAUGGCACUGCCCGGUAGCUAAAUGCGGAAGAGAUAAGUGCUGAAAGCAUCUAAGCACGAAACUUGCCCCGAGAUGAGUUCUCCCUGAGACUUUAAGUCUCCUGAAGGAACGUUGAAGACGACGACGUUGAUAGGUCGGGUGUGUAAGCGCAGCGAUGCGUUGAGCUAACCGAUACUAAUGAACCGUGAGGCUUAACCU